rnacentral:tRNA from 1 species
UUGGGUGUGGCUCAGCGGUAGGGCACUCGCCUCGCACGUGUGAAACCCUGGGUUCGAUCCUCAGCACCAUGUAAA